GUCAUUCACCGUGGAGGAAAACUACGGGAUCAAAAUUGAGGUGUCCAUUCUUCAUACCUUCUAGGAUGUGACAAAAAUUAAUCACCAAAAUAAAAUUAAAUAAUAAAUGACAAGAGAAUGACAAUUUGGGUGAAAUUACAUACUUGAAGUAUCCCUUUGCUCCUUGAGGCUCUAUAUCCUUCAGCUUCACCCCUGAGUCUUCGCCUCCUGAAGCUUUGUCCUCUGUGAGUGUAACUGCUUCGGCUUUACCCCUGAGAUUCUGGGUCCUGAAGCUUUGGCCCUGAGUCUCUGCCUUCUACAGCUUCUGCUUUGUGAAGAUUUGUCCCAUGAGUUUCUGCCUCCUACAGCUUCCUUCUGUCUUCUGGUGAUUUGCUCUCCAGUGCCAUUCUUUUUUGAAAACCUAUGUUUCCAGUACAACGAGAACCAACAUUGGUAAACAUAAAUAAGUAUAAGGUUUAUCUUCGCUAUGUAGUACUCAAUUUCAUUGAGCAAAAUGAGGUUGAGGUGGCACCAUCUUCAUGGCUCGAAAAGAUCGAUGGGGUACUGUUCUGCUAUUGGCCCAAUUCAAAUGUUGGGACCAAAGUCAUAAAAUGUGCCAUUCCAGACAAACAUCUCUGGACAAAAUAUGCCGUCAGAGUAUUUUCUGACACAGACAGUUACAACCUAGCAAGGUAUCGGGUCCAAAAAGCAGUUGAAACUUCCCAUGUUGAGGACUCGGAUGGAAAUAGUUCACGAAAAAUUAUACCACCAAGAAGAUUUAGAGAAGAAGAACUUCGGGCGCCCAUACCUAGAAAGACACCACAGACAAAACGCUUUCUUGAGGAAAGUGAAUCAUCCCAAGAUGAGAUUUUCAGUUUGAAAGCAAAGAAAAUUAACAAACGGCCAAGAUCAACAGCAAUUGCAUCUACGUCUGGGGAGCCUGAUGAAGGUAAAGUCACUAUGUAUUUACUUUCUAUUUGUUUGCUAUAG
rnacentral:lncRNA from 1 species